AGCAGCCGCGGUAAUUCCAGCUCCAAUAGCGUAUAUUAAAGUUGUUGCAGUUAAAAAGCUCGUAGUUGAAUUUCGGGGUCAGUAGGCUGGUCGUGCCACAGGUAUGUACUGGUCUUACUGAUUCCUCCUUCCUGAUGAACCGUAAUGCCAUUAAUUUGGUGUUGCGGGGAAUCUGGACUGUUACUUUGAAAAAAUUAGAGUGUUUAAAGCAGGCUAACGCUUGAAUACAUUAGCAUGGAAUAAUGAAAUAGGACGAUCGAUCCUAUUUUGUUGGUUUCUAGGAUUGACGUAAUGAUUAAUAGGGAUAGUUGGGGGCAUUAGUAUUCAAUUGUCGGAGGUGAAAUUCUUGGAUUUAUUGAAGACUAACUACUGCGAAAGCAUUUGCCAAGGAUGUUUUCAUUAAUCAAGAACGAAAGUUAGGGGAUCGAAGACGAUCAGAUACCGUCGUAG
rnacentral:rRNA from 1 species